GUACACACCGCCCGUCACACCAUGAGAGUUGGGAAUACCCGAAGCCUGUGAGCUAACUUUUAGAGGCAGCAGUCGAAGGUAGAAUCAAUGAUUGGGGUGAAGUCGUAACAAGGUAGC
rnacentral:rRNA from 1 species